GUGGCCAGAGUGACCCCAAGAGUGUCCAGGGACUUGGUUUUCUGACCAAGGUGCCCCCAGAAGAACAGGGAAUUAGAGCGGGCUGAGGGGACCAACCCCCAGGAUUGGAAUCUCUGGUUCAGGAGAGCCCUGGGGAGGAGAGAGGACUGUUGAAGUCCUCAUCCCAAGCCCAUAUAGGGGAGGGAGGGGAGCAAAGAGGUAGUGAAAAAUAAAGGAGGCAGAAAAGAAAGACGAGGUGAGGGCAAAUUUGAGAGGUUGUGAGCUGACCGUCAAGGGAGGCAUUCAAAUCAACAUUGAUAACUCAAGAUCCUUUCGGAGAAGUGAAAUCAAUGCCUAUAUCACAGAACAGGAAAUUGAGGCUAUCAUUUGCUUUGAGCUGAGAUCAGGUGGUGGUUUUAGGGGGUGAGGAAGGAGGAGGAUUCAGGGGACCCUGAUUUCUGGAUAACAAUGAGUGCCAGGGCCACACGGCCCCGAAGCCGGCGAGGGAGGCACGCCGCUCUGCCCGGUGAGCUAGACCCUGUGGCAGAGAGUUCAGAAGAGGCUGAGGCAGCCAGUGGGAGCUCCGAGCCGGGCCCUGUGCCAUCUCAGGAUAGCUGCAAGCCAGAGCCGCUGGGCCCUGAGGCGGAGGCCAAAGGGCAGGGCCUGGAGAGCAGAUCUUUCCAUCUCUCACCUCUUCACAGGACUGACAAAGAAGUUGAUGGGGACUCUAGCAGGGGACCUGCUCCAGCCCCCGAGGGGCCCUAUGAGCCUGCCCAGGAAGCCCACCAGGCCCCAGAGGCAGCCCCAUGGGACAGGGAGAAUGUCCCCUCUGGACCCAGAGCCCCUGACGUGUUUCAGACUCUCCAGCAAGCUCUGAGCUCUCUGGAAGCGGCUGUUGCUGCCUGGCGCCACCAGCCCCCAAGAUGUCCUGGGCCGUUGGAGGCAAAGGACAGAAGCGAGGGGGGACCAAAGCCCUGCUUGGAGCAAGAGCAGGCUGGGAGCUGCCAGCGGGAUGCAGCCCGAUUGACUGAAAGGAAUGCCUGGUUGCGUUUGGCCCUGAGCAGCCGUGAGGACGAGCUGAUCCGCACACAGAACUCCCUGAAGGCCUUCCAGGCUGAGAAGGAGAUGCUGCAGAGAGAGGUCCAGGAGCUGCAGGAUUCCCUGCUGAGGCUGAGGCCCUUCCCACCUCCCUCCUGUGACCAAGCAGGCGGCUCGGGUAGUGGUUCCAGCAGCUCUGGGGUUGAUGGGGAGACCUGGGGCACUCAGGAUCCCUUCUCCCUGGCUCACCCCCUGCUCCGGCGCCUCCAGAGUGAUUCCAGCACCCAGAUGCUUGGGUCUCUCCCCACCCAGCUCCUUGCCCCCGAGAUGCACAUCAUGGAAGCCCAGAUGGAGCAUCUCCAGGGGAACAUUGAAAAGCUCAAAUGCUUCAACCGUCUGCUGUCAGCUGUGCUCCAGGAGUACAAGGGCCGGUGUGAGGGCCUCAGCAUGCGGCUGGGCCAGCGGGAGGCUGAGGCCACUGCAUUGCGUCUAGCCUUGCAGUAUAGUGAACACUGUGAGGAGGCAUAUGGGGCCUUGCUCACUCUUCGGAAGGCAGACUCAGGAGCAGGAGAAGAAGCCUUCAUGGAUGACUUGGAGGCGGCUGAGAAGGAAGCUCAGAGGCUUCUGGUGCAAGAGGAGGCUGCCAUGGAUGGAGGGAUACUGCAGGAUCCACGUCCAAGCCCCGAGGGCAGCAGUGUGGAUAGGCCCACACCACAGGAGGUGGCUAUACAGCUCCAGGGCUACGUCCAGCGUCUUCAGGAACGCCGUGCUCUGGUGAAGAUUCCCCCAGAGCCUGGUCCCACCUUGGCACCCAUGUCCGCUGUGCCCCGUGCAGAAGCCAUGGUGCAGGCCAUUCUGGGGACACAGCCUGGCCCAGCCCUGCCCCGGCUGGAGAAGAUGCAGAUCCAGGAGGACCUGGUGGCCACACGGGAGACCCUAGCAGACCUGAUGCUUCGGCUACAGCUGGUGCGGCGGGAGAAGCGGGCUCUGGAGCUGCGGGAGGCUGCCCUCCGAGCCCAGGGCCCAGCCCACGUGCUCCUGCUGGAGCAGCUGCGCUGGGAGCGCGCAAAGCUCUGGACUGGUGGGGCCAACAGCAGUGGUGGAGACAGCAGUGGAGGAGGGAGCAGUGGAGAUGAAGAGGAGUGGUCCCAGCCUUAGCAGCUUCUGGAACCCUCCUUUGAAUCAUCUCUCCUACCUCCAAGGCUUUGUAAGUGCUGUGCCCCUGCCAGGAACACCAGUCACUUUCUAAUUAAGUCCUCAACCUCCUACAGGUCUGAGCUCAAACAUCACCUCCUCCAGGAAGUCCUCGUGGACUGCCUGUAAAUGAGAUAUUAUUUAUUCCCCUGUACCUUAUUGGGGUACCGUUAUUGGGUAUUGUACCCUUAUUGGGGUAUCUCACCAGAGUGGGGGCUCUGUGAGAGCAGGGGCUGUAGCCACCACAAUCUGGGCAACUUCGAUGUCCAACUUGGGCUGAGCACACACUCAGCCUAGGCCUGUGUCACUACCCUCCCUGCUGCGUCCCACAGGGCCCUCCGGCUGUCCCUGGUGGCAGCAGGGCUGUUGAUGGAGGCCAAGUGAGCAAAGUGCAGAACCCAGAAGAGCUAGCCCAGGAACUGUCAGCAUCACUCACCCGGGCUCUGGGCCUGCGGGAGCAGCUGCAGUCCUUGCGGGAAG